UACCAGCACCCCGAGUGGUCGGGACGUUUAUUGGGCCUAAAGCAUCCGUAGCCGGUUCUACAAGUCUUCCGUUAAAUCCACCCUGCUUAACAGAUGGGCUGCGGAAGAUACUAUAGAGCUAGGAGGCGGGAGAGGCAAGCGGUACUCGAUGGGUAGGGGUAAAAUCCGUUGAUCCAUUGAAGACCACCAGUGGCGAAGGCGGCUCACUGGCUCAUUACUGACGCUCGAGGCGCGAUAGCGUGGGGAUCAAACAGGG
rnacentral:rRNA from 1 species